rnacentral:rRNA from 1 species
AUUGAACGCUGGCGGCAGGCCUAUCACAUGCAAGUCGAGCGGAUGACGGGAGCUUGCUCCUUGAUUCAGCGGCGGACGGGUGAGUAAUGCCUAGGAAUCUGCCUGGUAGUGGGGGACAACGUUUCGAAAGGAACGCUAAUACCGCAUACGUCCUACGGGAGAAAGCAGGGGACCUUCGGGCCUUGCGCUAUCAGAUGAGCCUAGGUCGGAUUAGCUAGUAGGUGAGGUAAUGGCUCACCUAGGCGACGAUCCGUAACUGGUCUGAAAGGAUGAUCAGUCACACUGGAACUGAGACACGGUCCAGACUCCUACGGGAGGCAGCAGUGGGGAAUAUUGGACAAUGGGCGAAAGCCUGAUCCAGCCACGCCGCGUGUGUGAAGAAGGUCUUCGGAUUGUAAAGCACUUUAAGUUGGGAGGAAGGGCAGUAAGUUAAUACCUUGCUGUUUUGACGUUACCGACAGAAUAAGCACCGGCUAACUCUGUGCCAGCCGCCGCAGUAA